ACAAUGAUACUCCCGUCCAGUCACAGGUCGAGCGUAAAUACCCAUCAGGUAUAAAAACGCCGCAACCAAUGAGGGCGGCUCCGGGCGAUCCCCGGAGGGGUUCUAUUCCCGUGG
rfam:Clostridium sp. ASF502 genomic scaffold acMal-supercont1.22, whole genome shotgun sequence.